CAUAAAGUAGUGUAGUGGUAAGUUUCUUGCCUCAUAAGCUAUAGGUUGGGGGUUCAAGUCUUCACUUUGUCA